UACAGAGGUCUCAAGCGUUGUUCGGAUUCAUUGGGCGUAAAGGGUGUGUAGGUGGCGCCGUAAGUCGGGUGUGAAAUUUCGGAGCUUAACUCCGAGACUGCAUUCGAUACUGCGGUGCUUGAGGACUGGAGAGGAGACUGGAAUUUACGGUGUAGCAGUGAAAUGCGUAGAUAUCGUAAGGAAGACCAGUGGCGAAGGCGGGUCUCUGGACAGUUCCUGACACUGAGACACGAAGGCCAGGGGAGCAAACGGG
rnacentral:rRNA from 1 species